AUUGAACGCUGGCGGAAUGCUUUACACAUGCAAGUCGAACGGCAGCACGGACUUCGGUCUGGUGGCGAGUGGCGAACGGGUGAGUAAUGUAUCGGAACGUGCCCAGUCGUGGGGGAUAACGUAGUGAAAAUUACGCUAAUACCGCAUACGAUCUAUGGAUGAAAGCGGGGGAUCGCAAGACCUCGCGCGAUUGGAGCGGCCGAUAUCAGAUUCGGUAGUUGGUGGGGUAAAGGCCCACCAAGCCAACGAUCUGUAGCUGGUCUGAGAGGACGAACAGCAACACUGGAACUGAGACACGGUCCAGACUCCGACGGGAGGCAGCAGUGGGGAAGUGUGGACAAGGGGCGAAAGCCUGAUCCAGCCAUUCCGCGUGCAGGAUGAAGGCCCUCGGGUUGUAAACUGCUUUUGUACAGAACGAAAAGGUUUCUACUAAUACUAGGAGCUCAUGACGGUACUGUAAGAAUAAGCACCGGCUAACUACAUGCCAGCAGCCGCCGUAA
rnacentral:rRNA from 1 species